CGCGUGAGGGAUUGGUACCGUUGCGUCCGACGCGCGCCGCGCAGCGAAGUCCGGUGAGAACCCGGCGCUGUCCCGCAACUGUGGUUCCCCGACCCCGGGGACGAGCCAGGUCGCCUGCGCUGCGCGCCGACGCCAU
rnacentral:ncRNA from 1 species